rnacentral:lncRNA from 1 species
GCUGCCUUCAAGCAUCUGUUUAACAAAGCACAACUUGCACCGCCCUUAAUCCAUUUAACCCUGAGUGGACGCAGCACGUGUUUCAGAGAGCACAGGGUUGGGGGUAAGGGAAUCAAAGUGGACUUAUAAAGCCAAUAAAGCCCCUUGGGAAAGCUGGCCUCAUGCAUUGUCUACAGAGUCCUUGUACAGAGUUCCUGACCAGUGUAGAGAUGGGGCUUCACUGUGCUGCCCAGGCUGGUCUACAACUCCUGACCUCAUGUGAUCCGCCUGCCUCAACCUCCCAAAGUUCUGGGAUUACUGGCAUGAGCCACCGCACCUGACCACAAACAUUCUACUUUCUACUUCUAUGAUUUCAAAUUUAGAUUCCACAUGUAAGUAACUCACAACUUAUUCAUGUGAUUUGAUGUUGUUCUAGAAUCCAUCACCCUGCUUCCCUUUUCUACAGGCCUUGUGACUCCUUCUUUCCCACUGUACUUGGUUCUCUGCUUUAACUGACUGGAACAUCCCUAAAUCUACUGAAGUGAUCCCCAACUCCCAUGUCUCUGUUUCCCACUUGCAAUGACUCUGCCCCAUUCCACUGACCAUGAGAGCCCUGUUCCUGCCAAUGUCAUAACUCUAGCUACCUCUAAUCCUGUGAGCUGCACCUAGACCCAGUGUCUCCCCCUGACCACCCCCCCCUUUUUUUUGGUUUCACAAAACAAUUUGUUAAUAGAUGAUAUUUUCAUUUUGAAUUACUUGUACCAUGAUGAUUAGUAGAUCAGUAAAUAAAUUUGAUAAUCAGCCGGGCAUGGUGGCUCACACUUGUAAUCUCAGCAUUUUGAGAGGCCGAGGCGGGUGGAUCACGAGGUCAGGAGUUCGAGACCAGCCUGACCAACAUGGUGAAACCCCGUCUCUACUAAAAAUACAAAAAUUAGCCAGGCGUGGUGGCAUGCGCCUGUAAUCCCAGCUACUCAGGAGGCUGAGGCAGGAGAAUCACUUGAACCCGGGAGGCAGAGGUUGCAGUGAGCCGAGAUCGCACCACUACUGCACUCCAGCCUGGGCAACAGAGUGAGACUCCAUCUCAAAAUAAAUAAAUCUGAUAAUCGUACAAACUUAGAACUAGAAAGACUGGUCUAAUAUGUUUACAGAGUGAGGAUUUUGAACGCAGGUGUCUCCCCUUCUUGAUGAUCUCAUCCCUCCUGACUCCUGAGGUCUCUCGCCCCAGUGCCACCCAACCCACUGACACUAAUCCUCUCCAAUCCUAACCCCACCUUGAUGGCAGCGCUACUCUCUCCACUUCUAUCACAGAAAUCCCCAUCUCUACACAGGCAUCUUUGCUUUAUCCCAAUUUACCUUUUUCCCAUCUUUUGUGUGAUUUCUUGAGAACGGCCUCUGAAUCUCAUUUAAUAACCAUGCAGCUUAAAAUCCUGAGGAAUUUAUCAAAGACUUUUGAAAUUUUAUACACACUAAUUUUGGUUUGAAAGUCAAGGUUAACAUAUAUAUGAUACCUUGUUAAAGGAUGUUAAAAACGUUUAAUUCACACAUAAUAUUCAUACAUGUUUAUGCAGUACAGAGUGAGAUUUUAAAAAACUUUUAUUUAGCCUCAGGGUUACAUGUGCAGAUUUGUUAUAUAGGUAAACUCGUGUCAUGAGGGUUUGUUGUACAGAUUAUUUCAUCACCCAGGUACUAAGCCUGGGUGAUGACAACUGCAGGCUGGCAUUCUCUAACUCUCAACAUUUGGCUUAUACCUGCUUCUUCAUCUUUCUGGUCCUCUCUCUCCUCCCACCCUCCACUCUCAGGUAGGUCCCAGUGUCUGUUGUUCCUCUCUUUGAGUCCAUGAGUUCUCAUCAUUUAGCUCCCACUUAUAAGUGAGAACGUGCAGUAUUUAUUUUUCUGUUCCUGCAUUAGUUUGCUAAGGACAAUGGUCUCCAGCUCCAUCUAUGUUCCUGCAAAAGGCAUAAUCUUGUUCAUUUUAUGGCUGCAUGGUAUUCCAUGGUGUAUGUGCAGGGUGAGAUUUUGAUACAUGUAUAUAAUGUGUAAUGAUUAGAUCAGGGUAAUUAGCAUAUCUAUCACCUUAAACAUUGAUCAUUUCUUUAUGUUAAGAUCAUUAAAAUCUUUUCUUCUCACUUUUUGAAAAUAUACAAUGAAUUAUUGCUAACUAUAGUCACCCUCCAGAACUAUAGAACCCUAGAACUUAUUCCUCCUAUCUAGCUGUAAUUUUGUAUUCUUUAACCAACCUCUCCCUAUCCCUUUUACAGCCUUUCCCUUCCCAGCCUCUAGUAACCACUGUUCUGUUUACUUCUAUGAGAGCAACUCUUUUAGUACUGACCUAUGAGAGAACAUGUGUUAUUUAUCUUUUUUUUUUUCUUUUGAGACCAAGUCUUGCUCUCUUGCUCAGGCUGGAUUACAAUGGCACGAUCUCGGUUCACUGCAACCUCUGCCUCCCUGGUUCAAACAAUUCUCUUGCCUCAGCCUCCCAAGUGGCUAGAAUUACAGGCGCCUGCCACCACGCCUGUCUAAUUGUUUUUGUAUUUUUAGUAGAGACGAGGUUUCACCAUGUUGGCCAGGGUGGUCUCAAACUCCUGACCUCAGGGGAUCUGCCCGCCUCGGCCUCCCAAAGUGUCAGGAUUACAGGCGUGAGCCACCACACCCGGCCAAACAUGCAUUAUUUGUCUUUCUGUGCUUGGCUUAUUUCACAUUAGAGACUUUUAUGAAUUCAUCAAACAAACAUAAAAAGCAUUCUGAAAAUGGUAAUUGAACAGUGAGCAGUUUGUGGGCGGCAAGCCACCCAGGUGCUGAGGCAAGAGACCAAGGGCACGAGCUGUUCCAGUAUAAUAUAUAAAAUAUACUAUACUAUAUUAUAUUAUAAUAUAUAUUAUAUAUAUGAUAAUAUAUAUAAAAUAAGAAUAGUUAUACUAGAUAUAUAUCUUAGAUAUGAUUAUAUAUGAAUAUCAUUAAUCAUUAGUUUGUAGUAAUUAUUCUUUAUUCCAAUAUUAUAAUAAUCCUUGCUCUACAAUCAUAACCUAAGAAAAACCAGGCCAUACAGAGAUAGGAGCUGAGGGGACACAGUGAGAAGUGACCAGAAGAGUGCGAGGCUUCUGCUAUGCCCAGACAGGGCCACCAGAGGGCUCCUUGGUCUAGUGGUGAUGCCAGUGUCUGGAAAGACUCCCUUUGCCAAGUGGACUGUGGUCUAGCGGUAGCGUCAGUGUCAAGGAAAAACACCCACUACUUAGCAGACCAGGAAAGGGAGUCUCCCUUUCGCCGGGGGAGUUUAGAGAAGACUCUACUCCUCCACCUCUUGUGGAGGGCCUGACAUCAGUCAGGCCCGCCCGCAGUUAUCUGGAGGCCUAACCGUCUCCCUGUGAUGCUGUGCCUCAGUGGUCACGCUCCUAGUCCGUUUUCAUGUUCCAUCCUGUACACCUGGCUCUGCCUUUUAGAUAACAGUAGCAAAAUUAGUGAAAGUACUAAAAGUCUCUGAUAUGCAGAAAUAAUGGUGUCAGCUGUCUCUCUCUCUCUCCCUCUGUCUCUCUGCCUUGGCUGCCAGGCAGGGAAGGGACCCCUGUCCAGUGGACAUGUGACCCACGUGACCUUAUCUAUCAUUGGAGAUGACUCACACUCUUUACCCUGCCCCUUUUGCUUUGUAUCCAAUAAAUAACUGCGCAGCCAGACAUUCAGGGCCACUACCGGUCUCCGCGUCUUGGUGGUAGUGGUCCCCUGGGCCCAGCUGUCUUUUCUUUUACCUCUUUGUCUUGCGUCUUUAUUUCUACGUUCUCUUGUCUCUGCACAUGGGGAGAAACCCACCAACCCUGUGGGGCUGGCCCCUACACAGUUUUUAAGGUUACAGUGAUGUGAGAGACAGGCACCAUGUGGGGCAGGGGUUCUGCUUCUAUCAUAUUUCCAUUUUGUUGUUUUAGGAGAUCCUUCCAACUCUCACUAACAUUAUUUUCCAGAGAACAAAAGAAAAACUAUACUCUCCAAGAACAUGUUUCCUUUGUAAUUUUUCUGUCCUCAAACUUUUUCUGGAGAGAUGAGUCAUUUGACCUGACAUUGAGAAUAGGCUUGAAGCCCUUUGAGAGGACAAAGGAGAUAGAGUCAGCAUUCCUAUCUCCAUGCUCUGAAGAUCCAAGUCACUUGGUUACUGCUCCCUGGGCUGUCUAUUUUCACUGUUUAUGGAAGAUAGAGUACACCUGUAAAUGGAAGCCAACGGGUGCAUUUAUGUCCAACAUGAAUAAAUUGUCUUCUUUGCACCAGGAUUCCUUUAGAUCAUCAGCUUUGAGAACCUAGCAUAAGGUGUAGGUUUGCAGAAGGGUGAUUUCCUUCCCUUCUCAGGCCCUGGUUGGAUUCAGAGUGUUCUUCAUUUUUAUUCUAAUUAUGAAUUUAUGGCUCAAAUGGUGUGAACAGUCACAUAUAUGCCCGAUUUGGAGGAAAGCAUUCAUUACACUUUUAUGUAUAAAAAUAAAUUCCUUAUUGAAAUAUUAGAACCCAGUUAAGUGUAUUAGGAGAUUUGUAAAAACUGUAUACUUUUUUUUUUUUUUUUUUUUCAACACGGAGUCUCGCUCUGUCACCCAGGCUGGAGUGCAGUGGCUUGUUCUCAGCUCACUGCAAACUCUGCCUCCCAGGUUCAAGCCAUUCUCCUGCUUCAGGCUCCCAAGUAGCUGGGAUUACAGGUGCCUGCCACCAUGCUUGGCUAAGUUUUGUAUUUUUAGUAGAGAUGGAGUUUCAUCAUGUUGGCCAGGCUGGUCCCAAACUCCUGACAUCAGGUGAUCUGCCUGCCCUGUCUCCCAGGGGGCUGGGAUUACAGGCAUGAGCCACCAUGCCCGGCCUUAAAACUGUAUACUUUUUGAUAUUUUUCUUUAAGUAAUCAGUUUAAAAUAAUCAAUGAAUCAUUUUAAAAUAACCAAUCUAAUUGAACCUUGUCC